AUGAACGCUGGCGGCGUGCCUAACACAUGCAAGUCGAACGGAGAUAUAACGCUGCAGAGACUUCGGUCAAAGCUUGUGUAUCUAGUGGCGGACGGGUGAGUAACGCGUGGGCAACCUGCCUCAUACUGGGGGGAUAACAGUUGGAAACGGCUGUUAAUACCGCAUAAGCGCACAGAGUCGCAUGACUCAGUGUGAAAAACUCCGGUGGUAUGAGAUGGGCCCGCGUCAGAUUAGCCAGUUGGCGGGGUAACGGCCCACCAAAGCAACGAUCUGUAGCCGGACUGAGAGGUCGGACGGCCACAUUGGGACUGAGACACGGCCCAAACUCCUACGGGAGGCAGCAGUGGGGGAUAUUGCACAAUGGAGGAAACUCUGAUGCAGCGACGCCGCGUGAGUGAAGAAGUGUUUCGGUAUGUAAAGCUCUAUCAGCAGGGAAGAAAGGCUCGAAAGAGAGAUGACGGUACCUGACUAAGAAGCCCCGGCUAACUACGUGCCAGCCGCCGC
rnacentral:rRNA from 1 species